rnacentral:rRNA from 1 species
CCUACGGGAGGCAGCAGUGGGGAAUAUUGCACAAUGGGCGCAAGCCUGAUGCAGCAACGCCGCGUGAGGGACGACGGCCUUCGGGUUGUAAACCUCUUUUAGUAGGGAAGAAGCGAAGGUGACGGUACCUGCAGAAAAAAGCACCGGCUAACUACGUGCCAGCAGCCGCGGUAAUACGUAGGGUGCAAGCGUUAUCCGGAAUUAUUGGGCGUAAAGAGCUCGUAGGCGGUUUGUCACGUCUGCUGUGAAAACUGGAGGCUCAACCUCCAGCCUGCAGUGGGUACGGGCAGACUAGAGUGCGGUAGGGGAGAUUGGAAUUCCUGGUGUAGCGGUGGAAUGCGCAGAUAUCAGGAGGAACACCGAUGGCGAAGGCAGAUCUCUGGGCCGUAACUGACGCUGAGGAGCGAAAGCAUGGGGAGCGAACAGGAUUAGAUACCCUGGUAGUCCAUGCCGUAAACGUUGGGAACUAGAUGUAGGGACCAUUCCACGGUUUCUGUGUCGCAGCUAACGCAUUAAGUUCCCCGCCUGGGGAGUACGGCCGCAAGGCUAAACGUCAAAUUGAAUUGACGG